UACGGAGGGGGCGAGCGUUUAUUCGGAAUUAUUGGGCGUAAAGAGCUCGUAGGCGGUCUGUCGCGUCGGCUGUGAAAACCCGGGGCUCAACCCCGGGCCUGCAGUCGAUACGGGCAGACUAGAGUGCGGUAGGGGGAGACUGGAAUUCCUGGUGUAGCGGUGAAAUGCGCAGAUAUCAGGAGGAACACCGGUGGCGAAGGCGGGUCUCUGGGCCGUAACUGACGCUGAGGAGCGAAAGCGUGGGGGAGCGAACAGG
rnacentral:rRNA from 1 species